CAUGGAAAUGGGCAGAGUUGAUGGAGAGAGCCCUCUUUUAGUUUUAUUUCUUUUAAUUUACAUUGAAACACAUAUAUGGGUGUGGCCAAGCGGAGCUCUAAACCCACCCACUUCCUCAGGACCUACCCUGUGGUUCUCUAGGGUGCAGCCUGAAAGAGUUUCUGUCUUAGGAAAUGACUCUGGGAACACUUGUGGACAGACUUGACAUUUGCUUCUGCUGAGUCUCUUUGGCAAGGCCUGACUUUCUCUUCUCUGGUUUUCUCCCAUGUCCCUAAUCUGCCUUACUCACUUCAAUGCACACCUCGAAACUGUGCAGAGAGGCACUCCAGAGACCAACCACCGACGACAGACUCGAAGUGCAGGGCUACGUGACUUUUCACAUUUGAGAAAAACACAAUAAUCCCAACACCAUCAGAAGGGGCGCACACUUCUGCCUUGGUCAGCAAGCAGCUCAGCAGCUGUCCUGCCGACGUGCGCUAUCGCCAGUUCCCAGUUCUGUCCUCAGAAACUGUGAAGGGGCACAGACAUGGGAGAUACCAUCUCCUCAUGACCCUGAAGAUGACGUCAGGAAGGCAGCUGAAUUUCAGUUGAAGUGGUUCCUGAAAGCUAUUUUCAACCAGCUCAAAACAUACCCUCUCGGAGAGAGAAGGGAGGCACACAAGACUCAGAAAGUUCGCAAACAGAAACUCAUGAGGCCCUUCCCUGAGGUUACAGACCCAGUCAACAAUCUGGAGGAGAGGAGAUCUUCUGAGGCUCUGCUUCCAAGUUGUACAGAGAAUUCCACGGUUGCAGUUUUCCUGAACUGCCAUCCAUGCUAGUGUGGGCUUUUCGAUGUCACCCCCCCUAACCCAUGUCACCCUUGUUCCCAUAAGAA